UUUGGGGCAGAAAACGUGAGAUCUUUGGUUUGUAGAGCAAAAUGCUGCAGAAGGCAAUAAUGCAUAGGGAAGUUUGGAGAUUAGGAACACAGAAGAAAAGAGUAUGCUCAGAGGUAACACCGAGCUGCCUUACAGACUGCAAAAGCCCCAAGCUUCUUGGAUUUCAUUACCAAAUGUACUUUGGUCAGCCUGCAGUGGGCAGGCCUACACUGUGCUGAAAGACUUGAAAUGUAAGGCAGAUGCCUAUGAGGACUACAGCGAGUAGGUUGUCAAGGUUUCUUAUAAGUAGCAUUGUCUAGCAGACAGAAGGAUACAAGAAGCUCAUCUGCUGUUCAGCAAGAUAGUUGUCAGUGUUCCCAAAAUCAUUCCAGACCUGGGAGAUACUCUCUGCAAACAAAAGCACUGAAGAAGAAUUCUUAAUGAACUCGGACUCUGUAAAGUAUACAGAAAACAAACUAAUGGAAGCUGAAUCUUACUGAGGCCAAGACCACAGAUCUCCAAGUCACAUAAUUUUCAGUUGCCAACAGCAUGAGGUUGAACACUAACAAAAGUUAACAUCAAUCAUUGAAACAAGAUUCAAGUUAUGAAGAAGGACAUUACAGAAUAUAGUAAAUAUUUAAGAUGAGGCUAUUGAAGGUACAAACUCAUAGGAUGGAAAAUAAACAAUAACUAGGGGUUCAAACGGUGUCUCAGGACAAUCAGGAAUUUUUUUUUUCCAACUAAAAGCACAUUUUUUUGCUGCCACAUAUGAUGCUUUGCACAAUCCUCUUCAGUGAUGUGUGCUACAUUAUCUUCCAAAGUGAUGCACUGCCGUAUUAUCAUGGUAGUCUUGGAUGAUAACUGGGCCAUAGCGUAUGUCUGCUAGGUUCCACUAUUAGAUUAGAGAUGCCAGAGCAACAUGACACACAACAUUAAGCUACUAUAUGUCUACCAAAAUAGUUCAAAUUUGCUUUGAAAGAAAUGUUAUGGGCUGAAUCAGGGAUCAUCCAUUGGGGAACCUCUGUCUUGAUGGAAAAACAGUAAAACACCAUGAGCAGAACACACAUAUACACAGUUGUUCAUUCUGCCUCUCUGCUUAUUUUGCAAUACUCUGAUUUAAGUCACUACAUGCAGUUUGGUUGCAUGUGUUGCAGCAGAUAUAAACCAGCAACUGCUAUCAAGAAACAUGUGCUCUUUGGAUUGCACAAUAUGUCC